rnacentral:rRNA from 1 species
AGUGAACGCUGGCGGUAGGCCUAACACAUGCAAGUCGAACGGCAGCACAGUAAGAGCUUGCUCUUACGGGUGGCGAGUGGCGGACGGGUGAGGAAUACAUCGGAAUCUACUUUUUCGUGGGGGAUAACGUAGGGAAACUUACGCUAAUACCGCAUACGACCUACGGGUGAAAGCAGGGGAUCUUCGGACCUUGCGCGAUUGAAUGAGCCGAUGUCGGAUUAGCUAGUUGGCGGGGUAAAGGCCCACCAAGGCGACGAUCCGUAGCUGGUCUGAGAGGAUGAUCAGCCACACUGGAACUGAGACACGGUCCAGACUCCUACGGGAGGCAGCAGUGGGGAAUCUUGGACGAUGGGCGCAAGCCUGAUCCAGCCAUACCGCGUGGGUGAAGAAGGCCUUCGGGUUGUAAAGCCCUUUUGUUGGGAAAGAAAAGCAGCAGGUUAAUACCCCGCUGUUCUGACGGUACCCAAAGAAUAAGCACCGGCUAACUUCGUG